UACGUAGGGGGCAAGCGUUGUCCGGAAUUACUGGGCGUAAAGCGCACGUAGGCGGACCAUUAAGUCAGAGGUGAAAUCCCAGGGCUCAACCCUGGAACUGCCUUUGAUACUGCUGGUCUAGAGAUCGAGAGAGGUGAGUGGAAUUCCGAGUGUAGAGGUGAAAUUCGUAGAUAUUCGGAGGAACACCAGUGGCGAAGGCGGCUCACUGGCUCGAUACUGACGCUGAGGUGCGAAAGCGUAGGGAGCAAACAGG
rnacentral:misc_RNA from 1 species